CAGUGCUGCAGCUCAGUAAUACACAUCAUGUCAGAGGAGCAUCAUCAAGUUUCUUCUGAACCAAGUCAAGAGCAACAUGACUGGAGCUCUCUUAUACAUACUCUUGAUCAUUUUGCUGAAAGGCUCCUGUUGGGGUGUGUUGAUCACUCAAUGGCCUAAAUAUAUCUCCAGUUUUAAAAGCACCUCAGGGGACAUGCACUGUUAUCAGAAUGACACAAACUAUGAGUACACUUACUGGUACAGACAAAUCGAAGGGAAAGAGCUCGUACUUAUAUCCAGAUCUGUCUCUGGCAAUCCUAGCCAGGAGAAAGGUUUUGAAAAUGGCUUCAAAGCCUGGGGAACAAACAAGAAGUGGUCACUGACAGUGGAUGUUCAAGAGAACAGUGAUGCAGUUUACCUGUGUGCUGCUCGUUUCCACAGUGAAGAAAUGCUGUUUGUCUGUGGGACAAAAACAUACUGA